AAUCAGAUUAAAAUACGGAUUUUUCGACUAAAUAAUGUUGCUGAAAUUUCUUGAACAAUAGGAAAAAGGUCAAGUUUUUCAGAAAGAAUUUUUUAAAAACACUUAUACUACUACUACGAUUUAAAAAAAAAAUCUAAUCACGUUCUCAUUUUAACCAACUCAUCAACAAACAAAAACCUUCACUUUCUUUUACAAAUUUUAAACAAGUAGAGCCUGGCUGUUUUACCCCCCGAAGAUGUUCCUUCCCUUUCCUUUCGAUUUUUCAGAGUGAGUUGAUUCCACCGGUUUUCGAAGGACUAAAAAGAAAUAAAAAAUUAUUGGUUAGUUUCGGANNNNNNNNAUAAAAAAUUAUUGUUUAGUUUCGGACAAAAUAGAGAUUAACAAAAAAAAUAAAGAGCAGAUUAUAAACCUUCAUCUUUGCCUCUGUCUCGCUGCCGUCGGGACGUCUUCCUCUCCACCGAUUCCCCAUAAAAAAGUACCAACAACAACAUAACAAAAUAAAACCAUAAGAAUAAAACAAAAUAUAAACACUUUCAAACCCUAAACCUGGAGAUCGGGGCUUGCAUAUCAUUGGAGAUACCGGAGCGUCCUUCUAUGACAUGCAAGCCUGGACAAGAGAGAAAGGAGAGG
rnacentral:lncRNA from 1 species